rnacentral:lncRNA from 1 species
AUCCCAGCACACCUCCAGAUAAGUGCACAGACCAAUUAUCCUUUCACUAGGUCUACUUCUGUGACAAACACACUCAUGAGAUGAACUGUGUCUCCACAAUGAGCUGUCAUCCAAUCUACUUCUAAUCCCUUCUACUCUUGCUCAUCUUCAACAAUGCUGACAACCAGGUGUUCUGCAGGGCACCAACCACAUUAAAACUCCCAUUCAUUGUGUGCUGCCUCUCAGCUUGCGCUACAUGGCAGCAAAGGGCUGCACACUCAGAUGGCAGCUGCAACAAAGCCAGUCUUGAUUGGCUUAAUUACAUUAAUCAAGGCAUCAGGCUUUUAUACCUCCUCCCAGCAGCCCCAGGGGCCCAGAGGGAUAUCACCUGACACAGCAGAACGAGUCUGAUCUCUACAGCCCAGCAACAGAAGAAAACUGAAGUAUGAGGAGUUGAACGCUGCUGUUUCUCACCUUUGUGCUGCUGAUACAGGCUUACCGCCAGCCCGGUGAAAGACUCAGCCUCCCGAGAAGGUUUUCUCAGCUCUUCCCUUUAGAGGGCGAUCCUGCCGCACACAUCUUCAGCGUGCGAACUUCUGGGAGCUGCAGUGCGAGGUGAAGCCGCCCGGAGGUCAGCAGAAGAUGGUGGCUCUCCUGGAGCUCUGCAAACCUACGGACAUGAAGGGAGCUACAGUCUGGUCUGGGCAGUUCUGGUUGAAUGUCUUCUGCUUCCUCAGGCAGUUGCCAAGCUGCUCCCAGAGGAUGCCAAGUUCUCAGACAAAUGAAGGCUCCGUUUGGCAGCGGAUAGAAAACAGGAAUAUUUGUCUUUAUUCUGAAACUGAAUUUUUGUGGCUAAGCUGCACCAAAAAUACAUCUUCCCCCCCACCUCUCCCAGACACGAGACACCACUGAAUGCCGAAAGCAACUCUUCCCUGCCACAAAUGGACCAAAUAAACCCAGCA